rnacentral:misc_RNA from 1 species
CAACCCUCGAGCCCCCCUCGGCUCGGUGUUGGGGAUCGGCCACCCGCACUCGCUGGGUGGCCGGCCCCGAAUCACAGUGGCGGCCCCGCCGCGGCCUCCCCCUGCGUAGUAGCACACCUCGCACCGGGACGUCGGCGCGGCCACGCCGUAAAAGAGACGAACCCCUCAUCAA